rnacentral:rRNA from 1 species
AGAAUCAACGCUGGCGGCGUGCCUAACACAUGCAAGUCGCACGAGAAAGGGGAGCAAUCCCUGAGUAAAGUGGCGCACGGGUGAGUAACACGUGAAUGAUCUACCUCCGAGUGGGGAAUAACUGAGAGAAAUCUUAGCUAAUACCGCAUAAUACCCACGGGUCAAAGCAGCAAUGCGCUUGGAGAGGAGUUCGCGGCCGAUUAGCUAGUUGGCGGGGUAAUGGCCCACCAAGGCGAUGAUCGGUAUCCGGCCUGAGAGGGCGCACGGACACACUGGAACUGAAACACGGGUCCAGACUCCUACGGGAGGCAGCAGUGGGGAAUUUUGCGCAAUGGGGGAAACCCUGACGCAGCAACGCCGCGUGGAGGAUGAAGCCCCUUGGGGUGUAAACUCCUUUCGAUCGGGAAGAUAAUGACGGUACCGAUAUAAGAAGCCCCGGCUAACUUCGCGCCAGCAGCCGC